rnacentral:antisense_RNA from 1 species
AAUGACAUCAGACUGGGCUUGUGCCUGAUAAUUCAUUUCUGAAGGUGCAAUAUUAAGUGUCACAGUGUCCAGCUGGUGAUAUUUUCAGCAUAGAAACCUGUUAGACACGGCAACAUUAACGAGAUGGAAUGAAUUGAUUUAUUUCUCUUCUGAAUUGCUUGGCAGUGCCUGAAGAUUGAUGCGUCAGAUUUGCACAAUGUGCUACUUAGGAGAUUAUUUCUUCCUUCCUUCAGCCAGACAGGAGACUGCAGUGCGGAUAUGGUCCCUGUUUGCCUAUUUUCAUCCACAACUCUGCCAGAGACGAAAGAAGUGUUUGAAACAAUUCACCCAGAUUUCCAUCUGUAAUCAUCAAGAAUGAAUUGAUUAAAUUCCUUAAGAAAUUUACUUCAAGUCAUGAUUUUGACGGCCUAGUGCUAUCUGGAAAAGGGACAGCAGCAGCCUGGAGCAGUUUUCUAGCUAACAAGAAUUUUGUUAGCUAUGUGGCCACCUAGUGGCUCUUCCAUGAAUGUCACUGAUGGAUUGUCAGGUACACAGACAAUUACCCACUAAUAAAGAAGUUAUUAUCUUUCUUGGAA